ACUGAGAGACGCAGCCAUGGUGGAGGAAGGGGCCUAAUGUUCACCGGGGUACAGGAAGCUACCAUUGUAAACUUGGUUUUGGAAAGUAAUGAAAUCAGAUUACUGAAAAAGAGAUACUCAAAGUCACAUCAUCCAAGACAGCACCGUAUUCAACAACAUUCAACAAGUCAGUUUGUCCACAUUGGCUCGCGUUCUCGAGCGAAACCAAAUCAGUAUGAAACAACUUUAUAAGGUGUCUUUUGAGAGAAACUCUCAAAGAAACAAAGAGCUCAGAAGAGCAUAUGUGGAUGGAGUUCUGGAAAUGGAUGCUCAUGCAAUCCCGCAUGAGUUCAUCUUUGUAGAUGAGGCUGGGUUCAACUUAGCAAAGACCAGAAGAAGGGGAAGGAACGUCAUUGGCCACAGAGCCAUUAUAGAUGUUCCUGGCCAACGUGGUGGGAACAUCACAAUGUGCACUGCCAUCUCCAAUACGCAUGGUGUCCCCACCGUCAUGCCAACCUUGGACCAUACAACACAGCCCAUUGUCUCACAUUUAUGGACAGACUCCACAAUAUUCUCGUACCACCAGAGCGUAUGAAUGAUGCAGAGCAUCGAAGAAACAGGUAUGUUAUAGUAUGGGACAACGUGAGCUUUCAUCGUGCAGCCCCAGUCCAAACCUGGUUUGCUGACCACCCACCAUUUGUCGUGCAAUACCUCCCACCAUACUCACCAUUUUUGAACCCCAUAGAAGACUUCUGUUCAGCAUGGCGGUGGAAGGUUUACGACCGGCAGCCCUUUGUGUGCAUGCCUCUUUUGCAGGCUAUGGAAGAGGCAUGUGAUGAAAUUGAUGUGGGUGCGAUUCAGGGAUGGAUAAGGCACUCAAGGCACUUUUUCCCUCGAUGUCUGGCAAGGGAAGAUAUUGCCUGUGAUGUGGACGAGGCGUUGUGGCCAGAUCCAGCUAUGCGGCAGAAUGCUGCCUAAUUACAGUAUUUUUCUCGCCUCUUUUUUUAUAUAUAUUUUUUCUGUAAUUUUCUUUUUCAGUUUACUGUUUUUUGUUAGCAUAUUUUUGUUCACUCCAAUGUAUCUGCUGUGCAUAUUUUGCAUUGACUUUUUUGGUGAAAAAUAGAAAAUAACAGCAG